rnacentral:rRNA from 1 species
UAGUAAUUAAUUAAAGGUAAGUUCUGCCCUAUGAUUAAAUUUUAAAUGGCUGCAGUAUAUUGACUGUGCAAAGGUAGCAUAAUAAUUAGUCUUUUAAUUGAAGGCUUGUAUGAAUGAGUAAAUGAGAAGUUUAUUUUAUUAUAAUUAUUUUUUGAAUUUAAUUUUUAGGUAAAAAAGCUUAAUUUAUUUUUUGGGACGAUAAGACCCUAUAGAAUUUAAAUUAUUAAUUUUAUUAUUUUUAUAGUUAAUUUAUAAUUUAAUUUAUUUAAUUAUUUUUAUUGGGGUGAUAAAUAAAUUUGACUUUAUUUUUUUAUUUCAUUAUAAUUGUUUUUUUGAUCCAUUGUUUGAUUAAAAGAGAUAAUUACCUUAGGGAUAACAGCGUAAUUUUUAUGGGGAGUUCAUAUUUAUAUAAAAGUUUGCGACCUCGAUGUUGAAUUAANAUAAGAGUGUGGAGCA